rnacentral:rRNA from 1 species
UACGAAGGGGGCUAGCGUUGCUCGGAAUUACUGGGCGUAAAGCGCACGUAGGCGGCUUUCUAAGUCGGGGGUGAAAUCCUGGAGCUCAACUCCAGAACUGCCUUCGAUACUGGAAAGCUCGAGUCCGGGAGAGGUGAGUGGAACUGCGAGUGUAGAGGUGAAAUUCGUAGAUAUUCGGAAGAACACCAGUGGCGAAGGCGGCUCACUGGACCGGUAUUGACGCUGAGGUGCGAAAGCGUGGGGAGCAAACAGG